rnacentral:piRNA from 1 species
UAGGUGUGACACGUUCACAUAACUGUGC